rfam:Seinonella peptonophila strain DSM 44666 genome assembly, contig: Ga0131105_101
UGUAAAAAGCAGAAGCACCCGCUUCUCACCUAGUCAACACUACAGGUUGUUACUGGGUUACUUGAUAGGAUGAUAGUGGGUGCAUAUGCACCCCUUUUUUUAUUUUUUU